CGCCACAGCCAUAUCACCCUGCAGCCCAAGACUGGUUGCCCACUGAAGCUAAGCAGGGUUGAGACUGGUCAGUACCUGGAUGGGAGACCUCCUGGGAAAACUAGGUUGUUGCUG
rnacentral:rRNA from 1 species